CAACAUUCAACACCUUCGCACUCGACUCAUCAUAAUAAAACCUCUAUGCUACUACUCUAAACUUGUAUAAAGAAUCUCAGGCAGCCGUACUUUAUCUUCCUGCAAAAGAUCAGUUUGAGUCGUCGAAUAAUUUAACUGAGCCCCUCUUAGAGAUUUACUAUGAAACCCGAGAACUCUCAUUUGCCCAUUAUCAUCAAGUUGAUAAAGUACGCCUGAUAAGCCGAUACCUGAGGAAUCUGUUUGCAAAUAAUAAGGUGAUGUAAGUCCCUAACACGCAAGCUACGUCAGUACAAUGAAGCAGAGGAAGAGAAUUUGAUUUAUUUAGAUACUAGUAUAUAGAAAUAUUUUAUUUUAUAUUUAAUUAACUCCAAAUCAAAUCAGUUCACAUUCCAGUUUUCUUACGGCAGCAAAAAUGUAGCCAAAGAGGCUACUUUAUGUAACAAACUAUUCAUAUAUUUAAUCCUGGUCAUUCCGGUACCAAAAAUGUACCUUAACCCAAUAUUAGCUAAUCUACUUUAAUAAAACUCAUCCAGAAUUAAUUAUAAAUAAAUAAAAAUAAAUAAAUUUGGCCAUGUGAUCGUCUAGUGAAAUUAAUAUGUUGUGAACCUUAGUACCCUUCGUCUUUUAUGUGCAGACUGAUUAGAUUUGGAUUUAAAAUACUACCCCUAAAAUACCCUAUGUAAUUGUAAAUAUUUCUACUGUAUUUCUAUAUUAUAACACUAUCAUAUGAAAAAAAAAAUUAAAUAAUAAAUUAUAUUUUUUAGAAUUUAUCUUCUACCGAGCCCUACCGUGACCAGUUACCAUGAACAGUAGUGUAAGCCCUUGUUGUUUGUAAUUAUAUUUUCCUUUUAUAUCCAUUCGCUAAUCUAGCUAGCUAAAGGAAAAUAUGUAUAUGUAAAUGUUGCAAAAAUUAAUACGUACAAACAUACUUUAUCUACUGUCACGCCUCGGAUGAAGUCGGGUCUCUAAACUAAAUAAUACCUAUUUUAUUUUGUUUUGUUUUUAAUAGGUAUUCCUAAACACUAUGUAAUAUUUACUUUUAUCUGCGUUUCGGAACCUAUUUUCAGACAAGAAGAAACGCCAAGAAACUUAUCUGAAUAUACUAUAAAUGUAUGGAAUACUGAAGCGAUCGUCUAAUAAACAUGACUUUUUAACCCUUAGAUACCCAAUAUAGAAAAGCUCAAAUUGUCACUAGUGAACUGCUUCGCCUGUCACUAGCUCCCUAUAACAAAAUUAUUUAGUAUGUCCUCAAAUAACUUUGUUCCCCUAUCUCACCAAAUAUAAAAAUGUAUUACCUUUAAAUCAUAUUUAAUAUACGAGCCUCAGUAACCCAUCCAUAUGCUACUAAAACUAGACUUUAAUUUAUUCUGUAUUUUAAAACAAUUAACACUCUAAUGAUUUUAACACUGUAUGUAACCAAAAUACAUGUGAAAGAA